UAUAUUUUGUCAUUUGAAAUGAAAUGUAUUCCCAUGAAAUGUUUUACCCACAUAGCUCUCAGCCUUUCUUCCAAUUACAUCGCACCCAUCCUCUUAAAGAUUAACGAGCUUUAAUGAACUCUAUUGUUGCUAAUUCAUCUCCCUUUUAUUUUGACAGUGUGACUUUUGUUUACAAUUAGUACAGCUAAUGCUGUGCAGGGUCAUGUGGGUCGGAAGAAGAAGAUUUCUCUUCAACAUGCCUCAAGCUCUGCAUGACAAAGGUCCCUGGGAUGUGAUUUGUGCAGAGG
rnacentral:lncRNA from 1 species